GGGCUCUUGGCACAGGGGUAGCGCGCACGCUUCGCAUAGCGAUAUGCGUGAGGUCGUGGGUUCAAUUCCCACAGUGUCCA
rfam:Hypholoma sublateritium FD-334 SS-4 unplaced genomic scaffold scaffold_38, whole genome shotgun sequence.